AUUGAACGCUGGCGGCAGGCUUAACACAUGCAAGUCGAGCGAGCGGCGGACGGGUGAGUAAUGUCUGGGAAACUGCCUGAUGGAGGGGGAUAACUACUGGAAACGGUAGCUAAUACCGCAUACCAUCAGAUGUGCCCAGAUGGGAUUAGCUAGUAGGUGGGGUAAUGGCGCACCUAGGCGACGAUCCCUAGCUGGUCUGAGAGGAUGACCAGCCACACGGGACGUGUGACACGGUCCAGACUCCUACGGGAGGCAGCGGUGGGGAAUAUUGCACAAUGGGCGCAAGCCUGAUGCCGCCAUGCCGCGUGUGGGAAGAAGGCCUUCGGUUUGUAAAGCACUUUCAGCGAGGAGGCGUUACUCGCAGAAGAAGCACCGGCUACCUCCGUGCCAGCAGCCGCGGUAAUUC
rnacentral:rRNA from 1 species